rnacentral:rRNA from 1 species
CUCGUAGGCGGUUCGUCGCGUCCGGUGUGAAAGUCCAUCGCUUAACGGUGGAUCUGCGCCGGGUACGGGCGGGCUGGAGUGCGGUAGGGGAGACUGGAAUUCCCGGUGUAACGGUGGAAUGUGUAGAUAUCGGGAAGAACACCAAUGGCGAAGGCAGGUCUCUGGGUCGUUACUGACGCUGAGGAGCGAAAGCGUGGGGAGCGAACA